rnacentral:lncRNA from 12 species
GGGGGGGGGGGGGGGGGGGGGGGGGGGGGGGGGGGGGGGGGGGGGGGGGGGGGGGGGGGGGGGGGGGGGGGGGGGGGGGGGGGGGGGGGGGCCCACCGCCGCCACCGGGCGUACCGGUGCUCCGCGGCCGAGGUACGCGCCUCCGGGCACCGGCUGCAGUGUGUGUAGCGUGACCACUCCGCAAAACGGGGUCAGAAGGACUCGCGGCUGGGAGCCGAACAUGUGUUAUUUCGCCAUUUCAUGUUGAGUGUCCCCACCAUCGGAGAGGGACACACCGUCCUGCGGGAUGCCCUCAGCCGCCCCGAGAGGUGCGAGGCCCGGAGCCAUCCGCUGGCAGACACGUUCAAUCCUCAGCAAAGAGGCCUCCAGAAAUUAAAAGAAAACACAACACACACACACAAAGAAAAAUAAAAAGCAAACAAACCCAUCCGCCGAACAACACCAAACACGCUGGCUCCCCUCAGGAGCCGCGAAGGCGAGCUGACAGCGUACGCCAAACCGUGACACCGCUCCCGGAGUCUCACCCGUUCUCUCUCCAGGAGGAGGCGGCCGCCCAUGCCGGGAGCGGGACUGUUCUCCCGGCUGCGGGCGCUCGGGAACUCCGGGAAAUGUCACUCCCGGCGUGUGCCGCGGUCCGGCGGGAGCGGGGUGGGCGGGGGGUCCUCACCGCCGCCUGCAGCCUCGGGCGGGCGGGCAGCGCCCAGCGCCUCCCCAACUCCUCACCCCUCGCCUCAGGAACCCUUCACCUCAGGAACCCUUCACCUCAGGAAACCCUCAUCUCAGGAAGCCCUCGCCUCAGGAACGCGCCAUCCCCUCGCCUCAGGAGCCCCUCACCGCAGUUGCCCCUCAGGAAAGGCUCGCUUGGUGCCAGAGGAAUGGGAAGGAGUCGCUGUCCCCUCACCUUUGUGCAGGUCUGUGACCUCCCAGCCGCAGCAGUGCCGUGUCAGCGCAGGAAGAAGGGAAAGAUCCGCAGGUCUGUGA